rnacentral:rRNA from 1 species
UACGGGAGGCAGCAGUGGGGAAUAUUGCACAAUGGGCGAAAGCCUGAUGCAGCUAUGCCGCGUGUAUGAAGAAGGCCUUAGGGUUGUAAAGUACUUUCAUCGGGGAGGAAAAAACAAAACUAAUAAUUUUAUUUCUUGACGUUACCCGAAAAAGAAGCACCGGCUAACUCCGUGCCAGCAGCCGCGGUAAUACGGAGGGUGCUAGCGUUAAUCAGAAUUACUGGGCGUAAAGAGCACGUAGGUGGUUUUUUUAAGUCAAAUGUGAAAUCCCUGGGCUUAACCUAGGAACUGCAUUUUGAAACUGAAAUACUAGAGUAUCGUAGAGGGAGGUAGAAUUCUAGGUGUAGCGGUGAAAUGCGUAGAUAUCUGGAGGAAUACCUGUGGCGAAAGCGGCCUCCUAAACGAAUACUGACACUGAGGGUGCGAAAGCGUGGGGAGCAAACAGGGAUUAGAUACCCGU